rnacentral:rRNA from 1 species
AGAGUUUGAUCCUGGCUCAGAACGAACGCUUGCGGCAGGCUUAACACAUGCAAGUCGAGCGCGUAGCAAUACGAGCGGCAGACGGGUGAGUAACGCGUGGGAAUCUACCUAUCUCUACGGAAUAACCCAGGGAAACUUGGACUAAUACCGUAUACGUCCUUCGGGAGAAAGAUUUAUCGGAGAUGGAUGAGCCCGCGUUGGAUUAGCUAGUUGGUGGGGUAAUGGCCUACCAAGGCGACGAUCCAUAGCUGGUCUGAGAGGAUGAUCAGCCACACUGGGACUGAGACACGGCCCAGACUCCUACGGGAGGCAGCAGUGGGGAAUAUUGGACAAUGGGGGCAACCCUGAUCCAGCCAUGCCGCGUGAGUGAUGAAGGCCCUAGGGUUGUAAAGCUCUUUCACCGGUGAAGAUAAUGACGGUAACCGGAGAAGAAGCCCCGGCUAACUUCGUG